CAAUAUCGUAUAUUGAAGUUGUUGCGGUUACAACGCUCGUCGUUGGAUUUCUGUUGAGGUCGAACAGUGCGCCUAUGGUGGCGCAACAUGGCUGCGGCUUCGGCAUCUUCUUGGAGAGCGCAUCUGCACUUACCUGUGUGGAUCGUACUUCAAGUCAGUUACUUUUGAGGAAUUGUGAGUGUUUCAAGCAGGCUUACGCCGUUGAAUCCGUUAGCAUGGAAUAAUAGAAUAGGACCUCGGUUCUAUUUUGUUGGUUUUGAGAGCUGGGGCAGGCGAUUGAUAGGGACGGAUGGGGGCGUCCGAACUUUACUGUCAGAGGUGAAAUUCUUAGAUCGGUCAAAGGCGAACUACUGCGAACGCAUUCGCCAAGCAUGUUUUCGUUAAUCAAGAACGAAAGUUAGGGAU
rnacentral:rRNA from 1 species